GGCAGUUCUCAGGUGACGCACCCCGGAAUCAGGCUCCCUCCUCUCUGGCUCUGGAUGCGUCACCCAAGAACCACU
rfam:Myotis lucifugus cont2.27846, whole genome shotgun sequence.